UCGACGGUGAACCACUUCGGUGGGGAUCAGUGGCGAACGGGUGAGUAACACGUGAGUAAUCUGCCUCUGACUCUGGGAUAACCACGGGAAACGGUGGCUAAUACCGGAUAUGACGUACGGCUGCAUGGUCUGUGCGUGGAAAGUUUUUCGGUCAGAGAUGAGCUCGCGGCCUAUCAGCUUGUUGGUGGGGUAAUGGCCUACCAAGGCGACGACGGGUAGCCGGCCUGAGAGGGCGACCGGCCACACUGGGACUGAGACACGGCCCAGACUCCUACGGGAGGCAGCAGUGGGGAAUAUUGCGCAAUGGGCGAAAGCCUGACGCAGCGACGCCGCGUGAGGGAUGAAGGCCUUCGGGUCGUAAACCUCUUUCAGCAGGGAAGAAGCGCAAGUGACGGUACCUGCAGAAGAAGCACCGGCUAACUACGUGCCAGCAGCCGCGGUAAUACGUAGGGUGCAAGCGUUGUCCGGAAUUAUUGGGCGUAAAGAGCUCGUAGGCGGUCUGUCGCGUCUGCUGUGAAAACCUAGGGCUUAACUCUGGGCGUGCAGUGGGUACGGGCAGGCUAGAGUGCAGUAGGGGAGACUGGAAUUCCUGGUGUAGCGGUGAAAUGCGCAGAUAUCAGGAGGAACACCGGUGGCGAAGGCGGGUCUCUGGGCUGUAACUGACGCUGAGGAGCGAAAGCAUGGGGAGCGAACAGGAUUAGAUACCCUGGUAGUCCAUGCCGUAAACGUUGGGCGCUAGGUGUGGGGCACAUUCCACGUGUUCUGUACCGCAGCUAACGCAUUAAGCGCCCCGCCU
rnacentral:rRNA from 1 species